rnacentral:lncRNA from 1 species
CAAACCCAAGUAAAGAAAGCAAGGCUUCAAGUGACGAGGUAAAUCAUGGAAAAACUAGAAAGCGCAAUAUAUGGAUGAACAUCGGUGUGUCUUCCCUUACAUGGCGCCACAUGUGCUUUUGAACCUUUGGCCACUCUUCGGGAAUAGUUCUUGACAGCCAACACCACCUAGUACAAUAAUGGCUAAAGGUUUAUAAGCCACAUGAGCAUUUUCUGAAGCCAUUUCUCUUGCCAUUACUCUCCAAGUCUUGAGGGAUACAACUAUUUUUAUCAUCAACUUCAUUACAUUUUGUAACACUUUCUCACAAAACAAGUCCACUUUUUCCGCUUCCCCCAAAAAUGGGAGCUCAUGAACAUACGUUCUCUCAUUCAAAUGCUCGGCAACACUUUUUUGUCGAGUUGUGAUAAUGACUCUACUUCCAUUUUUGUUAUUUGGUAAGGCUCUCCUCAAGCUUAUCCAAGCUUUUUUAUUCCCAUAUAUCAUCGAACACUACCAAGUAUCGACGUCCUUCCAAAUAUCACGUAAAGAAGACUCUAAAUCUUCUCUUCAUCUUCUCCAAACAUCUCGAAUUUCUCUUUGGUGGUGGGCCUUCUUGAAAGAUUUUAUGGUCCUUUGAAAAGAUCUUGGAUGCGAAUCUUGGACACAGAAACCAAGCAGAAAUCGAUUGUUCUCGAAGACUAGUGGUGUUGUAAAGCUUCCGAGCUAUAGUUGUCUUACCCAAACCGCCCAUACCCACAAUUGAUACCACCCAACGAUGCAGAUCUUCCUUGAUAAGUUUAGACAUCAAUAAAUUAACAUCAUUUUUGAAGCCUACAACAAGCUCAUCAUCUUCAUAUGGUAUUUCUCUUCGUUGCUGAUUUAUUCUCCCACGAGCUAAAUCCUCUCUAGAAUCCCCAAUAUUUUCAAUUUUGAAAAUUUCUUGAUUACGUUGGAUUUCUUUGAGCCUAUUUUUCAAUGAGUUGAUUUCUGUUCCUAUACCAUAAAGAGUGGCUUGUUUGGUGUAAGUGCUUAAAUACUUCCCAAACCAACCUUUUAACCUCUUUGGAAUCCUUCCCUCUUCAACUUCAAGGAUGAAGUUGUCAAUAAUAUCCUCAGCAUCAUAAGCAACAUCUCUGAUAUCGGAUAUCCACUUUUGUAUUCGACGAUCUCCAUCCUGUGUUUUCUUCUGCAUCUUUCAAGAAACACACAUGUGCCAAUUUGUUUCUCAACCACUCAACUUCAUCUCUCACUCCUCGUCAAAAAACUAUCUUGUUUCGAUGAUAAGUUCUCCGAGUCGUUGGCAUCUACGAAGGAGACAACGGCAUCACCAUGUUUUGGUGGGCUUCUCGAUUCAAUUUCUUGCUCCUAACACUAAAUCAAGACUAGAUUAUUCAACUCUUACAAUAUAAUGCUCGCAAAAAUCUUUUAGAAGUAAAUGGUUGUGUAAAUAAGUUUUUACCUAUAUGAUAGUCCUUCCUAUUCGCUUGAUGAAAAAUUGAAGAAGUUACAACUCGCACCUAAAUUAUUCAGUCAAAAAUAAAAAUAGCGAACAUCAUAUAAAGAUUAAUGCCUAUGGCCAUGAAUAACUCUCAUAGUUUUAAACACCCUAACACAAAAGCACAUCUUCCUUGUAUGUUUGCAUUCUUUGUCCUAAUUUUUCCCUUUCUCUCUCCCUCUCUCGGUGAAAUGUAAUGGACUUUCAAUAAACUCCACUAAGUUUUGUAUCUACAAUAUACGCUAACUAAAUUUCUGAAUUAAAAUCAAUUAUUUUUUAAAUGAAUUCUUUUUUGGACAAAAUCCGAUUUACCACCAUAUGGUUUGAGAAAAUUAAAUGGUCCUGCCCUGUGAUUUCUGAAAUUACUCUACAAUUAUUACCCUUGUAAUAUGGUAAUAAAUAUUAUUUACUUAAUGAUUUUAAUUCAAUUAAAAAGAAAUUCAAACCAUAUAUAUAUAUAUAUAUAUACAUAUAUAUAUAUGUAUAAGUAGUGUUUUAUAAUUCAUUUUUUAAUUUAUAGAAGAGUAGUUAACAUUUAUUAUCAUACUUCAAGGUUACUGUGGUUAUUUUUUAAAAUUAGUUGUAGCAAAGAGUAAUUUAAGAAACUAUAGAGUAAUUUAACAAAUCUGAUAACUACUAAUUACAAUACAAGAAAGAGAUUACUUUAUAACCCGACUCCUAAGUACCACUAAAAAAAGAAAAUAAUCUAAUCAUGCCUUUAAGAAAAACUCUUACCUUCCAAUUGAAAUUGUGCGUUGUGGCCAAUUAAGUUUAACUUAGGCCUAGUUUAGAAUAACUCCUUUUCUUUUUGAAUAAUUUUUUUUUACCUUUGGUCAUUUUUUUUGUGGGGUUCUUGACAAGACGAAAACGAUUAUGUAUAAAUUUUGUUCAGAUUUAAGAAAAACUUAUUAAAAAUAAAAAAAAUUAGUUAAUUUGUUUAUAAUUUUUUUUCUAAAUUUGAUCAAAUUCUUAUAUUUUAAGUAUUGUUUUUUUAAGAAAAAACGAAAACUAUAAAUUUUUUGUCGAAAGAUAAAUAAAAAUCAUUACAAAAUUAAAAGAUUCGAAAAUUAAGCAAUUAAAUUAGUUAAAAAAACAAUUGGCCCAAACUGGGUCCAAUACCUUAUAUGUGUACCUGUCACUAUUGUAGAUAGAGAGAGAGAGGUAGGGAGAUACGUAUAGCAAAGUGAGAUAGAUGCCAAUUCAUUUCAGAAAAACAGCCAAAGGAAACGCCCUUUUCCCAUAGUUGGUUUCUCUUUCUGAAAGAAAGGCACUUUGCCUUGGGUGUCCGGUGGAGAGAAGAAAAAAACAGAGAGAAGUGGGUGUGGGUUGUUCAGGAAGAAGCAAAACGUUUAUAGGAGAGAGAAAUGUCAAUCCUGUGUAAAUUAUUAUGUGGUUCGCACCACAAAAAAUUAGGAUAAGGAUGAUGAUGUCAAUUGAUGGUAUCUAUGUGGUAUGAUAUUUAAGGUGUGAUUGUCAAAAUUAGAUGUGCGGUGCCAUGCCGGUCAGGUUAGGCGAAUUUAUUUUCGUAUUCUGUGACGUGUUUAUUUAUUAAAAAUCUAUACGUGUCUAAUCAUGUUCGUAUCUUGUUAUACCAUAAUUUUUUAUAUAUAUAAAUAAGUUUAAUGCUUCAAAUUAAAAACAAAAAUCAAUUAAACUUUUUCCUCUAUAACAUCAAUGAGUCGUGGCGUUUGUUUCCAAGAAGUAGUGGCCCAAUUAGACUUGACCAUCACCGUGCUCGUGCUAAACCGGUGCUUUAAAGUGCCUUGCCCGCAUGCUAGCCCCGCAUUUGUUUGACACAUCUAGUCACAACAUAACAUAUGGCAUCUUCUUUUUUUUCUUGAAUGUUUUGCUAAAGUGUUUAUCAUAUAACUUUAUUUUUGUUUUCUCUUUAUGAGCCUAACUUACUUUACAAAAAAAGUUGAGGAAAAUCAAUUUUUGAUAAGCUAUACUUUGAUAUUUUUUAACUUUUUUUUUUAAAUAGUUCAAUUUUCACAUAAGUCAACCACACUAAAACCUUCUAAUAUUGUAAAUGUUUCUUGUAAGUAAACCUUCUAAUAUUGUAAAUAUUUCUUGUAAAAGAACUUACGGUAAAAGUUAAUUUAUCAAAAGUGAAAAUCCAAAAAUAUUAAAAAUGAGCUUGUAAAUUAAAAUCACUCCUAAGAAUUUUUUGCUCAUAAACAAAAAAUAAAAAUUAUAAAGAACACCAUCAAAGCCGCAGGAUUUCCCAUCAAAGCCAUCACUUGUGUCUUGUGAUUUUUUCAAAUCUUCAAAUCAACAAUCUUCAAAAAUCACAAAUCAACAAACCCUCAAACCCCAUAUGUUAAUCUUCAACACCCAAGUCGCCAUUCCUUGUCACCGCUUGCAACUCGCUCGCCAUCGUCAGAAGAUUUUGCCUUCGGUCGUCGUUGCCUUCGGUCGUCGUCGCUAUAGUCUAUUGCCAUUCAAUUCUCCCCCGGUGCCAUCUGGAGACUCCGCGAUCUGUCUACUCAUCCUCGAUCUUUCCCCCAACCCCCCACCCCCUCACAUAACAAAAAGGAGAAACUUUACUACCGCAUACGAAUGUUUCCAGAGGGGCUCACUAGACCCAUCCCUAUACCAUACCCUUGUCAGCAGCAAAAAUGACCAUUCUAACCCUUGACCCCUCCAUCCCACCCCACCCACAACCUACGAAUGUCGCGAUUUUUUGUUUAGAUUUUUUUUAGUUUUAUUUUAAUCAUUUUUUGUUUAAGUCUAAUAUUUAUUUAUUUUAUCAUUUUUUUUUUUUUUGGAUAAUACUUUUUAUUACUUGUUUUGUUUUUCUUUUUUAGUUUUUUUUUAAUUAUUAAUUGAUUUUUAUAAAAAUAAAUAAAAAUAAAAUUCGCAAGUGUUCGGCAUGUAAGUACUCAACUUUUGAUACCAUACAUUGGCAUAUUUAUUUUGGAAAUUAAGAAUCUAAUGGCCAUGUUAGCCUAAUCCACUGGAGUAUCAAAGUGUUGAUAAAACAUCAAAAACAUAAAAAACUCAAAACUAAAAUACUUAAAUACGUAAUUGUUUAAAACAUAAGCCAACAUUGGCCUUUAAUUAAUGGGUUUUUAAGAAAUUUUAUAAUUUAUGCAUCAACUAAAAGUUUAGUAUAAUUUUUUUAAUAUAAUGAUCAGGCUAUUUGAACACUUAAAUUUGUGUUCUCUUUUUUAUGUUUAUUUAUUUUUUAUUAAAAAUUAAUUAUAAAAAAAACUAAAAAACACACAAUUAUAGUAAAAAAAAAUUAUUUAUCCAAAGAAAAAACUGAUCAAAAUAAUAAAUUUAGAUUAAAAAAGAAAUAAAAUAAUUAAAGAAAAAAAAUUAAAAAAACUAAAAAAUCUGGGGGGAUGGGGUGGGGUGGGGGGUGGGGGUCGGGGGUAUAAUGGGUCAUUUUUGCUCUGACAGGGGCAGGUCAUGCCAAUUUUAAACCACCGGAGGUCAGUGCUAUUAUGGAAACCUCAGGGGUGUAGGUAAAGUUAAUCCCCCCCCAAAAAAUGGAAGAAUUACACUAACCCCCCUGAGGUUUUCUUUAAUCCACAAGUACCCCUUCACUUGACUAUUAUAUAUGAACCCUCCCCUGAGUUUUGAAAAUUAUGCUGACAUACUUCUUGACAAACCACUUUCUCCCAUUCUUCUCCUAUAAAAAUACCCAAAUGGCCCCUUCUCUCUCCUUAUCCAUCCUCUCUCUCUCCUCUUUCUCUCUCUCUUUGCACCUUUAUAUUUUUAUUUUUUUUUAUUUUUAUUAUAAUUUUUUUAAUACUCUUUAAUCAUAUUUUUUAAUAAAAAAAACUCUUUUUUGUUACUUGUUCUUGUUUUUUUCCCUUUUUGUAUCCUUUUAUUUUUAUUUUUAUUUUAUAUUUUAUAUUAUUUUUUUUAUAAACCCGUUGAUACUUUAUUUAACAAAAAUGAAUCCCCUUUUUGUUAUUUUUGUUAUUUAUUUUCUUUAUGUCUCCUUCUAUUUUUAUUUUUAUUUUUAUUAUAUUUUUUCAUUAAUAACUUGAUUAUUUUUUAACAAAAAAUGAAUCACUUUUUGUUAUGUUUUGUUAUUUUUUUGUAUCCUUUAUUUUAUUUUUAUUUUUUUUUGUAUUAUUUUGUUUAAAUACCCUUUGACUCAUUUUUUUUUUAAUACCAAAUUGAUUUUUUUUCUCUUUCAAUACUUUUGUUUAUUUUUUAAAUGUUUACAAAUAGAUUUCCCCCAAACUAGUAUUACAAAAAAAUAAAUAAUCAAAGGGUAAUAAAGCAAAAUACAAAAUAAAAAAUAAUCAAAGGAUGUUUAAAAAAAUAAUAAUAAAAAUACAAAAAUAAAUAGAAGAGUAUAUAAAGAUAAAAAUACAAAAAUGGAUUCAUUUUUAUUAAAUAAAAUUAAUCAAGGGUUUUAAAAAAAAUAAUAAAAAUAAAAUAUAAAAUCAAAUACAAUGGUACCAAAAAAAUAAUAAAAAGAAACAAGAAAAAUUGUUUUUUAAUUAAAAAAUAUGAAUUAAAGGGUCAUUAAAAAAUUAUAAUAAAAUAAAAAAUAAAUGGGUGGAAAGAGAGAGAAGAGAGAAGGGGGGGAGAGAGAGGAUGGAUGAGAGAGAGAGGUGGGGACAUUUUUGUCAUUUCAUAGGAGACAAGGGAGAAAAUGUGUUAAGAGGUGUCAAGAUUAAUUUUCAAACUCAAUGAGUCACUUGUAAUUUAUCAAACAUCAGGGGAUUUGGUAUUAUGGUAAAACAAUAACUUACAACAAAAGACGAGAACAAUAUAAUUUUGUCUGGUUUAAAUAUUUUGUAAGAACCAUAAGUUUAUCAAAUAAUUUAGAAAUUGUGAUCCGAAUUUUGAACCUUGGAAUGAACAAUUUCUUGGCUGCUGUGUUGACGGCCAUGACAGAGACAGACAUAGAGUGAUCAAGAAGAGAGAUCUUACCCCAAGGGGGUUUUCCAGUGUUAGCUCGAUGGAAAGAAGAGGAUUUGCAGGGGGUUUUUCACGCAGUGCGGCUGGGGUUCCGACUCUUUCAUCAGCGUGAAGAUUCCUCCAUUACCUCUGGGUGGGUGUGAGCUUGUGAGGACCCAACUCAGCCCGAUUUGGGUCUAAUAUCUCUGGUGUUGCCAGCUGGGGGUGUUUGUUGGCUGUUCCGAGUCAUAAAAAAAAAAAAAAAAAAAAAAAGAGAUCUUUUCCUAAACAUUAUGAUUUAACCAUAUAAAGAUGGACCGGCGCGAAAAUUCUGUUAAGAAUCCCAACUGCCAUGGGUUAAAAUUGCCAAGUUAACACAUUGUGGAGUUCCAACCAGAAACACAGAACCAGCAAAAUAGGCCCAGCCCCAGCCCAAUACCCACAAGUUGUCCACAAAACUCCAACCUAGAACACACCCACUAGAAAACUUGGGCCAGAAUAAUUGUCAGCCCAAGGCCCAGCAUCAAAAUAAACCUCAAAAGAAAACACAGUUUGGGACACAAAAUAGCAAAAUAAGGAAUUGUCCAGCCCAAACUCACCAAAGUUUCAGCCCAAACACAAAACACAAAGAAUAAUUGCGCCACGUAGGCGAGCCCGUGAUAAUACCACGGGCUCGAACCCGUUAUAACAUUACUCGCAUUUUAAAUUUUUAAAAAUAUUUUUAUAUAUUUUUAAUAUUUUUAAAUAUUUUUUAUACAUUUUUAAUAUUUUCUAUACGCUAGCAACCCUUAAAAAAUAAUUUAUAGACCUUUCCUUUCAUUUAAAUAGGUCAGUUCAGCAUUUAUAUAAUUGGGGAGACCCAAUAUUUUAAGCCGAAACGCAACGACUGCUAUUGACUCCGAUUUCAACGUUGUUGAUUGCAUGGACCCAAUUGAUUUUAACUUUUUCACUUUUUUCCGUUUUUUAGAUUUUUAUAUAAAUAAGAAAAUUAUAUUUAAUAUUUUUAUAAUUAUAUCACAACUCAUUUUCCCUUUGCAUUGUGUUUGAUAUGCCCUUUAGUUUUUUUUAUCAAAUAAGAUAGUAGAGCUUGAUACAAUUAAAAAAAUGAGUCUAGCCGAUCAAGAUGCAAACCACGAAAGACACGAAUAGCUGACAUCCACGAGAAUAAACUUUACAAUAAAUUUCGUACAUGUUUUAAAAAAGCUUUAAUGUUCAUUAGCAAGUUCGACCAUACUAGAAUAAUUAUUUAAUGUUAAUCUGAGUUAAACAUUCUCAUUUUAAUUUUUUUAAUAAUACUUUGACGUUAAUUCGUAAGUUGGCACCACAAUAAUAAACAGAAUGAAUCUCAUUUGAUAUAUUUCAUAGAGAAUGUAUAUGAUUCACAUUUGUAAUUAAGUGAGAAUAUGGAGUACGAUAUUUGAAUAGGGAACCCUAUUUUGCGCGAAUUUAUAAAAUAGUUCAUAAAUGAGCCUCUUGGUGCCCAUGAACUACUACUUACUUUUGCUAAUUUUGUAAAUAUAUUUUAUAGGGCAAUUUAGUUUUACAUGAACUUUCACUUAGAAAGUUUUUCUUUCUAGUUUGAUAGUAACAUACCGAAUUGAAACCCACUAAUUGAGAUAAAAUUGUAUUUUUGUUGAAGGGAUAUGGGUACAAUCUAGUUGUGUACCCCAAAUACACACUAAUUUGAGGAUCAAAUUGUAUUUUUGAAAGGGUAAACUGGCUUAUGGGUACAAUUAGUGGGGUUAUCCCAAUAUGACCCCCAAUGAGGUGUCGGAAACUUGUAGAUUGGCUGAGUGUGGGUGGUCCCCCCAGUCUUUUCAACAUUCAUCACCCCACACCCAGCCCACCCCAAUGCUACACCUCAUUGGAUGUGCAUUUGGGUACAACUUUAACAUUUCCCUUUUGGAAAUCAUAAAACUGAAUUUAGUCAAAUCACAUGUUACAAAGUUCAGUUAGCUUCGGUUACAAAGUUGCAAUAGUUUAGUCUAUUUUUAAAUUUUCUCAAAUUGUUAAAAAAAGUUUAGUUUUUAUUUUUUUUUUAAAUUGCACAAAUUCAAAAUGUGAACAUCUCUAUUUACUAAGGAUGAUAACGACCAAAACGUCGAGCUUUUGACUCAUGUUAAGUUCGUUAAAAAGUUUUUUAAGACAGAUUUGUUACUCAAACAAAUCAAGCUUAAACUAUUUUUUAAACUUGUUAAGCUUUCAAGCCAAAAAUGAAUAAUCUACUGACUAACUUGUCAAGCUUUCUAAACCACAACAAUUUAUUGGGCUUAUGAUUGACUUGAAACUUGUUUGAAAUCGAUUCAAUUGAUAAGCAAGUCAAAUUUAAUUACGGAAACUUGCUAAAUUUUUCUUUGUAUUUUAUCGAAAAUCAUAUUACAAGCUAUUAAAUAAAAUAGUAAUUUUUUAAUUUUAUAUAUCAAUAAAACAAGGUAUCUUGUACACGUCAUAUUGUGUCUCAGUUCCUUCACAAUUCAAAAGUUAAAGUGGCUUUUGAAUCUUGAUCGUUGAUCAUUUUUUUGUGGCCAAUAAACUGGGGCCUGGGGCAAGCCAUGUGGCUUAUUUUUUCCGACUUUUUCCUGCUUAACAUGUGAAUGUUUCAAGAGUAUUAAUAAACCACACUUGUAUCCCUUAUAGUUUUACCCAAAUUUCACUUAAGCUCUUAUACUUCCAAUUGAAGCAAAUAAGUUAGUAUUUCACUUUGUAUCAUGUUUUCAUGUAGUUCAAUUACUGAACUAGGUUUCAUAAAUUAAAUAGAGGAAGCACUGGAUGGAUCUAGAAUCCCCAAUGGAAAUUAAAAGAAGGUUUUUAGCAUAAAAGCGAGGCAAGAUUGUGCGUGUGUGUGAGAGAGAGAGAAAUGUAAAAUAUAUUUCUCAUAGACCAGUACUUACUAAUUUGUAAAUAUAUUUUUAUAAGCAGUUAGUUUGACAUGACUUUUCACACUGAUGAAAGUAGUUUUUCCUUUCUGAGUUGAUAUUAAUGUGCCGAAUUUAAACACACGGAUUGAGGAUAAUUGUAUUUUGAAAUCAAUAAAACUGAAAUGAGUCAAAUCCCAUGUUAUGGUUUCAGUCAGCUUCUGUUACAAGUUCCAUUCGUUUGGUUUAUUUUAAAUUUUUUCAAACUGUUUAGACUAGGUUAGUUUUUAUUUUUUAUUAAAAUCGCACAAAUUCAAAGUGAACCUUUUUUUUCUUAUUCCGCUUAGGGAAUGAUAAACGUACCAACUGUGUAACUUGGCUCGUGUUAGCUCGUCAAAAUGUGUUUGAAACUGAUUUAUACUUAAACAAAUCAAGUUGAAUUAUUUUUUAAACGUGUUAAGACUUUCAAACAUAAUUUUUUUAAAAACCUGAACAAUAUAUUAGGCUCGUGAUUAGCUCGAAACUCAUUUAAAAUCAUGUCCGCUUGAUAAAUAAGUUAAAUUUAAUCAUAUUUUUAAAAAUCGAUAAAUUUUUAAAUUAAACUUGAACAGCUUUACUCAAUUGUGUUUGACUCAUUGGGCUUGUUUACCAAUCUUAUAUCGAUUACUCACCUCCCCAAAGUAGUGAUACCAUAUAAACUUUAAUCUUUACCACAAAAGUCAAGUGAUAACACUUUUUGUCAAAUUUAUCUUCAUUUUAAAGUUUUUUAGAAUAUCUAUUAUUUAUUUAUUUUAAACUAGUGAUUAAUAAAGUUUAUCUAAACAAAUAAUUUCUUAUAUAAAAAUUAAUAUAUAUAUUUUUAAAAAUAUGUAUCUAAAGCAUAUCAUUUUAUUUUUCUAGAAAAAUUAUAUCUUAAAUUGAAAUCUGAUCAUUAUAAUUUUUUAAAAAAAAAUAAUUUCUUUUAUAAAGUAAUAUAUAUUUUCUAAAAAUUUCUCUAAUACAUACAGAUUAUCUCAAUUAAUUAUAAAUUUUAAAAAUUACUAGUUUGAUAUUCUCACUCUAAAAUUUACGUUUUUCACCUCAAUGUGUCUUAAGAAUAAGAUCAAACUUUCUUGAGAGAGUUAUAAGUUGUGUGAAAUUAGUAAAAAAAAUGAUCAAAAUUGUUUGAAAACAAAUAAAAAUUGUUCUAUGAAGUAUAAAAAAAUAAUUUUCUAGGUUUUAGUUUUUUACCAAAGCAACUUGAUUUUCUUAUGUGGAUUUUUAAUUUUCAUCAUCUACCGGUGGUAAUUUCAUAGAAUCAUCAUCCAUGGUCGCACAUGCAUUGGGUAUUCUUCCCCAAAAUCACCAUGGGGUAUCAUAAAAUUUUCGCGAUAGCUGGAGUACACACCGAUAUUAAUUUUUAUGGACACGUGGCAGAUUUUUAUGGCUGGUACUGGAAAUGGGUACAGACUAUGGGUACAGGUGAUCGUAAGCUUCUGCGCUUUAAUUUGUUGUGCGCUUUUAGUGCUUUAGCAAACAUAUUUUAAAUCAAUUUUCAAAAAGUUAUAUCUUAAUUCUUGGCUUUUAGAAUUUUGCUUUUAACAAAUUAGAACCGAUUGCUACCGGUUUUGGUUCUGGUUUUGGUUCUUACAAUUGAUCCGAUUCCUAAAUUUGUCAAGAACCGAUCUAAUUUGCAUCGUGUACACUCCUAUAAAUUUACAAUCGGUAAAAGAUGAGUGAGCCAAAAAUUAAAGAUCGCAUUUUAUCAAUCUUGAUAACAAGAUGGUUGGUCCUUGUAGUCUGACAACAGUUCAUUUUAUCUCUAUAGUUUUAGUUUAAGCAAUUAGGAUUGAAUUGUUUCAAUCGAUUUCAAUUUAUUCCCUACGUCAGUAUCCAGUAAGUAAAAAUUCACCUAACCGUUUUUAAUAACUAAAAUAAAACUUUAGGCAAACUGCAAGGACCAAUUAUAGUAAACUACCCUCUAAAUAUGGGAUGUAAGUUUUAUGUUCUCACUUUAUGUCCAAAUACUUAAUGAGUAUUGAAGCAAGAACCAUAUUAAAAUCAAAUUAAAAUUAUAAGAUUCUAAUUGUCUAAAUUAAAACUAUAAGAACUAAAAUAAAACUUUGAUCAAAAUAUAAUUACAAUUAUAUAUGGCUUUGUUUAUUUUAUCUAUGAGUCCCUCUAUAUAAUAGUGAAUUUGGACAGUCAAUCUUUGUAUUCGUUUGUUUAAAUGAAUGAAAUACAUACACAUAUCUUUAUUAUUUUUCAGAUUUUAUAGGCAUGCAAACCCACAUUUUUUGCAACUAGAAAUUUAAAUUUGUAAUCCUUCUUUCUCUCUCCCCUCUACUUUCCCACCAUCCAACCCUCUCACUAAAUUUAUAACAUGAGUUUUUUAUGUACUAAAUGCAUAAAGUAUGACUGUUUCUAUUUUAUGAUUACUUUAUGUUGGCAUAAAUAGUGUGAAAAAUGAUUAUAUUAGACGAAUUCACUAUAAAAUCUUGAAAGCAUUACAGUUUUUAUUUAUAUUGAGAUCUUUUAUUGAGGAAAAUAAAAAUAAAAAUUUGAAGUUUGAGAUAUUGGAGCAAACUAACCCUCACAAAAGAUGGUUGUGCAAACCAUAGAUCAUUGUUUGUGUAACACCUUUGGCGGUGUAGAUAUGUAAGAACUAUAAAACAAUAGAGAUUGGAGAAAAAGAGACGAUUGAUUAAAAACCAUCUAACACAAGUCCCCUCUCACAUCUUCUAUCACAAAGAGAAAGAACAUUGGAGGGCUUUUUUGCUAAAGAUACUUGUUGUAGUAAAAGACUGCUAAAACAAUUUAGCGUUUCCGUGGAGAGAAUGAGAGAUUUUAUCAAGAGCGGGCAAUGAAAAUUUUUUUAAGUUCAAUUGAAAUGAUGCCGAGUUUGAUGUAACAAGCAGAGUACAUCCGGAGAAUGCAAAUUAAAAGUCUUGAAAAUGUUUUGUGCCAAAGAUACAGAAGCCAAUUGUGUACUCAAUUACUUGAUACAAUUGUUUUUUUUCGAAUUCUGGAUUGCCUAUAGAUAUUGUUGACAUAAUACCCGUUACUGUUGCACAAAUCCGGUGAAGAAGUUUUCAAAAAGUGAAAUUGGCUUUAAAACUUAGCUUCGGUCAACCAUGUCUCAAGAAAAAUUAAAUGAUUGACUAUAUUUAUCCAUUAAUACAAAGUGAACACCGCUUGAUUAUGAAGAUUAAUUAGUAACAUUUGCAGCAAAAGUGCGAGAAGAGUAGUUCACAUGAUUAAUUUCGGAAUAUUGUAAUGGUUGUUUUUUUUGGAUGACAUGUUGUUUAAAUUUUGCAUGAGAAAUA